ACAAUGAGAAAUUUCUACAUAAUAUUACCUCAUAACCAAGUCUUAGAACAAUAAGGGCAAUCCAAAAUAAGUUAAUACUGCAAACUUGUCUCGAAUACUAAACAAAAUUUUUAAGUGGUUUAUCCACACCUGAAAUGGGGAUGGAAUCCAGUCACAAACGGACAGGACCACUACCCCAGUUUCAAGUAAUCCAUGCUAAAUAACAGCCCUUACACCUACAAGGAGGAAAAUAAAUAUGGCUUUCUGAAUUACAAAGCCAAUUACCACACCAAACCAAAACCUUGCUUACAGAAGAUCAGCAACAUUAGCAGGCAGCUCCUCAAUUACGACAUUGUAGAACUUCUGGAUGUCAA
rnacentral:lncRNA from 1 species